rnacentral:tRNA from 1 species
UGGCACAGUGGUUAAAGCACUUGGUUUCUAACCAAAAGGUCAGUGGUUCGAGCCCACU